rnacentral:rRNA from 1 species
GUCGAGCGGAAUGACGAGAGCUUGCUCUCUGAUUUUAGCGGCGGACGGGUGAGUAACACGUGGGCAACCUGCCCUACAGAUGGGGAUAACUCCGGGAAACCGGGGCUAAUACCGAAUAAUCAGUUUGUCCGCAUGGACAAACUCUGAAAGACGGUUUCGGCUGUCACUGUAGGAUAGGCCCGCGGCGCAUUAGCUAGUUGGUGGGGUAAUGGCCUACCAAGGCAACGAUGCGUAGCCGACCUGAGAGGGUGAUCGGCCACACUGGGACUGAGACACGGCCCAGACUCCUACGGGAGGCGGCAGUAGGGAAUCUUCCACAAUGGACGAAAGUUUGAUGGAGCAAUGCCGCGUGAGCGAAGAAGGUUUUCGGAUCGUAAAGCUCUGUUGUAAGGGAAGAACACGUACGGGAGUAACUGCCCGUGCCAUGACGGUACCUUAUUAGAAAGCCACGGCUAACUACGUGCCAGCAGCCGCGGUAAUACGUAGGUGGCAAGCGUUGUCCGGAAUUAUUGGGCGUAAAGCGCGCGCAGGCGGUUCUUUAAGUCUGAUGUGAAAGCCCACGGCUCAACCGUGGAGGGUCAUUGGAAACUGGAGAACUUGAGUACAGAAGAGGAAAGCGGA